CAACCGAGUUGGCCCAAAAAAAUAAAAAACGAAUUAAGGCCCAAAGGAGAGGGGUGGCCGGCCAUCUUAUGGCCCAAGCCCACAAAAUUAAUAAAUUUCCCAUGUGAUAAUUAAUAUAAAGGAUCAUUAAAUUGUCUUGAAACAUUUAGAAGUUUCAAGACAAUUGAGAAAGAGAGAAACAAGAGAAAGAAGAGCAAGAAUAAGAAGGCCAUUUUCGGCCAAGCUCUAGACCAAAAAAAAAAAAAAAAAAUUUUUUUUUUUCAAAAAUCAUUUUCUACCAAUUAAAGGGUCCUUUACAAUUUGGUGUAAUUAUUUUGGAAGAAAGAACACUUGUUUCUUCAAGUUGACAACUUGGUCAAGUGAAGAAGAUUGUAGAAAAAGAUUUUGGCGAACUUGAAACUUGAUUUUGGAGACGUGUAUGAAUCGGAAAAGGUCAACAGGUAGACAGAUUUGACUCUUAGAAGCUCCAUCAGCAGUACUGUGGCAGCGCUCCAGUUGUUCCGGAGCCUCAGUUUCUUGGUACUACUUUUGUGUACAUAUUCGGGCACGGUAGAACCGGUCCUUCUUGUAUAUGUAGAUGUACUUUGUUUAGAGGCUCGUAGACAGAUAUGUACAGUUAGAUGUUUUGUACUUUUGUGGUCCUCGUCGU